GUAGUCUGCAACUCGACUACAUGAAGCUGGAAUCGCUAGUAAUCGCGAAUCAGAAUGUCGCGGUGAAUACGUUCCCGGGUCUUGUACACACCGCCCGUCACACCAUGGGAGCCGGAAAUGCCCGAAGUCAGUGACCCAACCGCGAGGAGGGAGCUGCCGAAGGCAGGUCUGGUAACUGGGGUGAAGUCGUAACAAGGUAAC
rnacentral:rRNA from 1 species